CCUACGGGAGGCAGCAGUGGGGAAUAUUGCACAAUGGGGGAAACCCUGAUGCAGCGACGCCGCGUGAGGGAAGAAGGAUUUCGGUAUGUAAAGCCCUAUCAGCAGGGAAGAAAAUGACGGUACCUGACUAAGAAGCCCCGGCUAACUACGUGCCAGAAGCCGCGGUAAUACGUAGGGGGCAAGCGUGAUCCGGAAUUACUGGGUGUAAAGGGAGCGUAGACGGCAGCGCAAGUCUGGAGUGAAAUCCCAUGGCUUAACCAUGGAACUGCUUUGGAAACUGUGCAGCUAGAGUGCAGGAGAGGUAAGCGGAAUUCCUGGUGUAGCGGUGAAAUGCGUAGAUAUUAGGAGGAACACCAGUUGCGAAGGCGGCUUACUGG
rnacentral:rRNA from 1 species